CCAUCUGGUGCCAGCAGCCGCGGUAAUUCCAGCUCCAAUAGCGUAUAUUAAAGUUGUUGCAGUUAAAAAGCUCGUAGUUGAAUUUCGGGGUUCUACCGUUGGUCGGGCUUUGUCUGUACUGGCGUGUAGAAUUUCUACCUUCUGGGGAACCAUCAUGUUAUUAAUUUAACGUGGUGGGAAACCAGGACCUUUACCUUGAAAAAAUUAGAGUGUUCAAAGCAGGCUUAUGUCUGAAUACAUUAGCAUGGAAUAAUAAAAUAGGACGGUGGUCCUGUUUUGUUGGUUUCUGAAUCACCGUAAUGAUUAAUAGGGAUAGUUGGGGGCAUUAGUAUUCAAUUGUCAGAGGUGAAAUUCUUGGAUUUAUUGAAGACUAACUUCUGCGAAAGCAUUUGCCAAGGAUGUUUUCAUUAAUCAAGAACGAAAGUUAGGGGAUCGAAGACGAUCAGAUANCCGUUCGUAGUUCUUAACCCCAUAAANCUAUGCCGANCUAGGGGAUUCGGANCGAUGUAUUU
rnacentral:rRNA from 1 species